rnacentral:rRNA from 1 species
GAUGAACGCUGGCGGCGUGCUUAACACAUGCAAGUCGAACGGAAAGGCUCCUGCUUGCAGGGGUACUCGAGUGGCGAACGGGUGAGUAACACUUGGGUGAUCUGCCCUGCACUUCGGGAUAAGCCUGGGAAACUGGGUCUAAUACCGGAUAGGACGAUUGUUUGGAUGCCAUUGUGGAAAGUUUUUCGGUGUGGGAUGAGCUCGCGGCCUAUCAGCUUUUUGGUGGGGUAAUGGCCUACCAAGGCGUCGACGGGUAGCCGGCCUGAGAGGGUGUACGGCCACAUUGGGACUGAGAUACGGCCCAGACUCCUACGGGAGGCAGCAGUGGGGAAUAUUGCACAAUGGGCGCAAGCCUGAUGCAGCGACGCCGCGUGGGGGAUGACGGCCUUCGGGUUGUAAACUCCUUUCGCUAGGGACGAAGCGCAAGUGACGGUACCUGGAGAAGAAGCACCGGCUAACUACGUG